GUGUCCUACGGGAGGCAGCAGUGGGGAAUAUUGCACAAUGGGGGAAACCCUGAUGCAGCGACGCCGCGUGAGUGAAGAAGUAUUUCGGUAUGUAAAGCUCUAUCAGCAGGGAAGAAAAAAGACGGUACCUGACUAAGAAGCCCCGGCUAACUACGUGCCAGCAGCCGCGGUAAUACGUAGGGGGCAAGCGUUAUCCGGAUUUACUGGGUGUAAAGGGAGCGUAGACGGCAGCGCAAGUCUGGAGUGAAAUGCCGGGGCUCAACCCCGGAACUGCUUUGGAAACUGUGCGGCUCGAGUGCGGGAGG
rnacentral:rRNA from 1 species